rnacentral:rRNA from 1 species
UAGAGUUUGAUCCUGGCUCAGAUUGAACGCUGGCGGCAGGCCUAACACAUGCAAGUCGAACGGUAGCACAGAGAGCUUGCUCUCGGGUGACGAGUGGCGGACGGGUGAGUAAUGUCUGGGAAACUGCCUGAUGGAGGGGGAUAACUACUGGAAACGGUAGCUAAUACCGCAUAACGUCGCAAGACCAAAGAGGGGGACCUUCGGGCCUCUUGCCAUCAGAUGUGCCCAGAUGGGAUUAGCUAGUAGGUGGGGUAACGGCUCACCUAGGCGACGAUCCCUAGCUGGUCUGAGAGGAUGACCAGCCACACUGGAACUGAGACACGGUCCAGACUCCUACGGGAGGCAGCAGUGGGGAAUAUUGCACAAUGGGCGCAAGCCUGAUGCAGCCAUGCCGCGUGUAUGAAGAAGGCCUUCGGGUUGUAAAGUACUUUCAGCGGGGAGGAAGGUGUUGUGGUUAAUAACCGCAGCAAUUGACGUUACCCGCAGAAGAAGCACCGGCUAACUCCGUGCCAGCAGCCGCGGUAAUACGGAGGGUGCAAGCGUUAAUCGGAAUUACUGGGCGUAAGGCGCACGCAGGCGGUCUGUCAAGUCGGAUGUGAAAUCCCCGGGCUCAACCUGGGAACUGCAUUCGAAACUGGCAGGCUAGAGUCUUGUAGAGGGGGGUAGAAUUCCAGGUGUAGCGGUGAAAUGCGUAGAGAUCUGGAGGAAUACCGGUGGCGAAGGCGGCCCCCCUGGACAAAGACUGACGCUCAGGUGCGAAAGCGUGGGGAGCAAACAGGAUUAGAUACCCUGGUAGUCCACGCCGUAAACGAUGUCGACUUGGAGGUUGUGCCCUUGAGGCGUGGCUUCCGGAGCUAACGCGUUAAGUCGACCGCCUGGGGAGUACGGCCGCAAGGUUAAAACUCAAAUGAAUUGACGGGGGCCCGCACAAGCGGUGGAGCAUGUGGUUUAAUUCGAUGCAACGCGAAGAACCUUACCUACUCUUGACAUCCAGAGAACUUUCCAGAGAUGGAUUGGUGCCUUCGGGAACUCUGAGACAGGUGCUGCAUGGCUGUCGUCAGCUCGUGUUGUGAAAUGUUGGGUUAAGUCCCGCAACGAGCGCAACCCUUAUCCUUUGUUGCCAGCGGUCCGGCCGGGAACUCAAAGGAGACUGCCAGUGAUAAACUGGAGGAAGGUGGGGAUGACGUCAAGUCAUCAUGGCCCUUACGAGUAGGGCUACACACGUGCUACAAUGGUGCAUACAAAGAGAAGCGACCUCGCGAGAGCAAGCGGACCUCAUAAAGUGCGUCGUAGUCCGGAUUGGAGUCUGCAACUCGACUCCAUGAAGUCGGAAUCGCUAGUAAUCGUAGAUCAGAAUGCUACGGUGAAUACGUUCCCGGGCCUUGUACACACCGCCCGUCACACCAUGGGAGUGGGUUGCAAAAGAAGUAGGUAGCUUAACCUUCGGGAGGGCGCUUACCACUUUGUGAUUCAUGACUGGGGUGAAGUCGUAACAAGGUAGCCGUA